rnacentral:rRNA from 1 species
UACGUAGGGACCAAGCGUUGUUCGGAUUUACUGGGCGUAAAGGGCGCGUAGGCGGCGCGGUAAGUCACUUGUGAAAUCUCUGAGCUUAACUCAGAACGGCCAAGUGAUACUGCAGUGCUAGAGUGUGGAAGGGGCAAUCGGAAUUCUUGGUGUAGCGGUGAAAUGCGUAGAUAUCAGGAAGAACACCCGUGGCGAAAGCGGCUCUCUGGAACGGUACUGACGCUGAGACGCGAAAGCGUGGGGAGCGAACAGG